rnacentral:rRNA from 1 species
AGCGAACGCUGGCGGCGUGCUUAACACAUGCAAGUCGAGCGAAGGUGUUUCAAGGGUAACCUUGAGAUACACUUAGCGGCGGACGGGUGAGUAAUACGUGGAUAACUUACCUCUAGGCCUGGGAGUAACCCCGGGAAACGUGGGGCUAAUACCUGAUAAGACCACAUUGUCUAACGGACGAAAAGGGGUAAAAGGUGGCUGUGCAAAACAGCUAUCGCCAAAAGAUAGGUUCACGUCCCAUCAGGCAGUUGGUGAGGUAAUGGCUCACCAAACCAAAGACGGGUAGCCGGCCUUGGCGGGUGAACGGCCACACGGGGACUGAGACACGGCCCCGACUCCUACGGGAGGCAGCAGUGGGGAAUAUUGGGCAAUGGGCGCAAGCCUGACCCAGCGACGUCGCGUU